rnacentral:rRNA from 1 species
UACAGAGGGGGCGAGCAUUGUUCGGAAUUACUGGGCGUAAAGGGCGCGUAGGCGGCCUUCUAAGUCGAACGUGAAAUCCCUCGGCUUAACCGGGGAACUGCAUCUGAUACUGGAUGGCUUGAGUUCGGGAGAGGGAUGCGGAAUUCCAGGUGUAGCGGUGAAAUGCGUAGAUAUCUGGAGGAACACCGGUGGCGAAGGCGGCAUCCUGGACCGACACUGACGCUGAGGAGCGAAAGCCAGGGGAGCAAACGGG